ensembl:lncRNA
CAUAGUUAAUAGUGGGAAGUGGUCCAUAAAACUAAAGUGUGACUGUUAUAAAUUAUUAUAAAUUACAUAUAAUGAUUUAUCUGUAAAGAAGUGUCACGGAGUGACUUUGUAAGGGCGGAACUAAAAGUGACGGAGAUUGGUUCCGCCCGGACAAUAAUUCUCAAACACCGGUUACUUCCGGGAACUCCGGGGAAGGAAAUCAGGGUUUCAUUGAUCGCAGGUGGAUAGAUGAGCGGGGCGAUCGCGGAUUGGGCAGUGUGAAGAGAAGGAGGAGUAUAAAGAGGGCCUCAGAAACUGCAGAGGGAGGAGGAAGUUCUUUGUUUUAUUUUAGCUGAUACGGUGAGUGAGUUGGAGUGUUCGGGCGAGUGCAGUGGAAAGAAGGCAGAGGAUAUUGAUGGUUGGGCGAAGAUGGAGACAAGGGUUUGGCAGAAACAGAAACCGGGCUGAGUAUAUUGGGAUGUCUACCUAACUGUGAAAUGCUCCAUGGACAUGUGUAACAAAUUCUGAGUGGUUGAAAACAGGAAGACUCACCGGAAGUAUCGCCGAAGGAGGCCCUUUCGACAGGUCACGUGGCAGCAGGAGAAGUAUCCAGGAGCUGGAAAGAAGAGGGAAAAGAGACCUUGUGUUAGUAACGAUGUGAGUACCCUAAACCAUCGUACAGCAGCAUAAUCAUCUAGCGUGAACUAUCUGUGAGCCUUUUUGUGAGUUUGUGGCAUAGUAUGUGAGCGGCCCCACCGUGGAGGAGGAUUGUGGGUGAGCCGGGACCAGUGAGCGAGAGAAGACGUUGGGGUGUCGUGGCGGCGACGUUUAAAUCUGAAUAUUCGUGGCAUCAGUGUCUCCACGAUUUCCAGGACGAGUCUUUGGUCAGACGGGGUUUUGACCCUAAAUUCACCAAGAGUGUGUGGAAUGCAGUGGGCCCGACGAAAUCCUGGAAGGAAGUGAGUACUGAGGCGGGCGAAGAAAACAUCUCCAAUUAUAUGCCGUCGAUGACAUCCUGACCCUUCUUCCCCACGUGACAGUGGUGGGAAACAAUUUCAAGUAAGAACAGUGUGGAUCUAUUGGGAAGUAUUAAUGGUGA